rnacentral:rRNA from 1 species
AUUGAACGCUGGCGGCAGGCUUAACACAUGCAAGUCGAGCGGAGAUGAGGUGCUUGCACCUUAUCUUAGCGGCGGACGGGUGAGUAAUGCUUAGGAAUCUGCCUAUUAGUGGGGGACAACAUUCCGAAAGGAAUGCUAAUACCGCAUACGUCCUACGGGAGAAAGCAGGGGAUCUUCGGUCCUCGCGCUAAUAGAUGAGCCUAAGUCGGAUUAGCUAGUGGGUGGGGUAAAGGCCUACCAAGGCGACGAUCUGUAGCGGGUCUGAGAGGAUGAUCCGCCACACUGGGACUGAGACACGGCCCAGACUCCUACGGGAGGCAGCAGUGGGGAAUAUUGGACAAUGGGGGGAACCCUGAUCCAGCCAUGCCGCGUGUGUGAAGAAGGCCUUAUGGUUGUAAAGCACUUUAAGCGAGGAGGAGGCUACUGAGACUAAUACUCUUGGAUAGUGGACGUUACUCGCAGAAUAAGCACCGGCUAACUCUGUGCCAGCCGCCGCCGUAAUAC